rnacentral:rRNA from 1 species
UACGAGGGGGGCAAGCGUUGUCCGGAUUUAUUGGGCGUAAAGAGCGUGUAGGCGGCUAGGUAGGUCCGUUGUGAAAACUCGAGGCUCAACCUCGAGACGUCGAUGGAAACCAUCUAGCUAGAGUCCGGAAGAGGAGAGUGGAAUUCCUGGUGUAGCGGUGAAAUGCGCAGAUAUCAGGAAGAACACCCGUGGCGAAGGCGGCUCUCUGGUACGUGACUGACGCUGAGACGCGAAAGCGUGGGGAGCGAACAGG